CAGCUAGUGCCGGAGAAGAGAAGCAGACGGAGGAGACGACGGAAGACGUGACAAGAUAUUGAUCUUCUAGAUGAUGCAACUGUCGAUGAUGAUGUUGAUGAAGAUGCGAAUUGCGAAGAUUCUGAUAGUUAUAGAUGUUAGAGAUGUGAAUGGAGGGCGGUGAUGAAGGGAGCACCUGGAAGCGGUGUCCACGUGAAGCACUGAAUCAUUGUCUCACUUUUGUCUUUUUAUUUGUAUAAGAAAAAUAAUUAAAAUUCUUAAACAACAAAGUGCGAAUCUUUGGGAACUGUUGAGUUUGAAACACGUGUUCCAAAAAGUUAAAAAGAAAAAAAAAACCUGUCUCUGUCUCUCUUUAACUUUCUCGCCACGAUGAAAAUCACGGCGGCGGCCACGGCGGUCUUUCGGAGGCCGAUCUCUUCCAUUCCUUACGAAAUCGAGUUGAAUCCUUUUGAUUUAGAGCAUUUACGGGCACUCAAUAGCUCCGGCCUCCGCAAACGCAAACACGAAGGCAAAUCCAAGAACCGGUCUGUGGUUAAAGAGAGAUGGCAGGGGAAUUUUUACCUGGAAUACUUUCUCUCGUAUAUAACGACUUCCGAUGUCUCCUUCCUGGAGCUGGAUCCAAAUUUCGAACACAGUAUCUCUUGCUAUGCAUCCGUCCUCAACGCUUUAACCAAACAUGGAAUUCCGUUUCAUUUGCAUAAGGCUGUCACAUCGAUGGCAGGAAAGUGCGGUUCGGUGCAAGAAUCUUUGUUUGUUGUUGAUUUCUGGAAGCAGCUCAGUGAAAGGUAUAGCUACCAACUUAAAUACAGGCUUACUUCCAAAUGCUAUAACUCUCUGUUUAAGAUAUUAGCAAGGUUUGGUCUGAUCGGCGAAAUGAAGUGGCUCUAUACAGAUAUGUUUGUUUCACCUGGAGUUUACACGUAUAAUAUCAUGAUUAAUGGGUAUUGUAAGUUAGGGUAUGUGGUAGAAGCUAGGCAGUAUGUGUGUAAGAUGAUUCAAGCUGGUUUGGAUCUUGAUUAUCACACGUAUACAUCUUUUAUCCUCGGUUACUCUAGAAGAAUGGAUGUGGAUUCUGCUUUCCAGGUUUUUAAGGACAUGCCUUGUAGAAAUGUGGUUUCCUACAACCACCUUAUUCACUGUCUUUGUGAUGCCGGCAGGAUUGAUGAAGCUGUGAGCUUGUUUGCGAGGAUGAAAGACGAUGAUGGCCUCCAUCCCACGACUUAUACAUACAAUGCAUUGAUCAAAGGGUUUUGUAAGAAGAAUGUGCACAGGGCAAUGAGACUCCUCCAUGAGAUGCGAGAGCUCAAUUUGGUUCCGAAUCUAGUCACUUACAACUUAUUGGUCCUUGGACAGUGUAGGUCUGGUAAUUUAGAUACAGCAUAUAGACUUCUUGCUUUGAUGGAACAGAGCGGGGACCUAAACAAUCGCGCAUACGGGUGUAUCAUAGAUUCUCUUUGUAAAAGUAAGCGGGUAGAAGAAGCCCAUGCUCUUUUCGAUUCCCUUGGGAAGAAGGACAAGGCAAACGUAGUCUUGUACAAUUCUUUGAUUGAUGGAUACUGCAAAGCCGGGAAGCUGGACGAUGCUCGCCUUCUAUUUGAGAUCAUGGAGGGUUACUGCUCACCCGACUCAUAUACUUUUACUGCCUUGAUUCAUGGGAUAUGCAUUGAUGGAGAUUUGAAAGAAGCCUUGUCUUUGGUGGAAAAGAUGGUCAAGAUGGGCAUACAACUUACGGCCUGUACACGCACAAUCCUGAUCAGGAAAAUGCUCAAAGAAGGGGAUUUUGAUGAAGCUCAUAGAUGUUUUCGCCAAAUGUCGUCCUCUGGACAGAAGCCUGACGCACAAACUUACAACUCAUUUGUCGAGGCCUAUUGUAGUGCAGGGAGAGUGCAAGAAGCCGAGGGUAUGAUGGCGAACAUGAAGGAAGAUGGUGUUACUCCAGAUGUCUUCUCAUACACUUUGCUGAUCAAAGCUUAUGGCGACCUAGGGAUGACCUGUUCUGCAUUUGAUGUCCUAAAGCGCAUGUAUGAUGCUACCUGUGACCCUUCUCAUCAAACUUUUUUGGCAUUGAUCAAACAUCUCUUUGAAAAGAAGUACGCGGCAGGCAGAGGUGGUGAAACAGCACUAGAGUUGGGGGAUGCACCAGGUACUAUUAAAUGGGAGAUGGUGGAUUUUGAUAUCAUUGUCCAACUCUUUGAAAAAAUGGUAGAUCAUGGGUGUACCCCUGAUGAAAAUAGCUAUGAGAAGCUCAUAUUGGGGAUGUGUAAAGUAGAGAACUUGGGAAUAGCACAGAGACUGUUUGAUCAGAUGGAAAAAAGAGGAAUGGCUCCGAGUGAGAUGGUUUCUAAUGCACUUCUUUGCUGUUUCUGCAAGCUGCAAAAGCAUGAGGAAGCUGCAAAGUUGGUGGAAGAUAUGAUUUGCAGUGGCCAGUCACCGGAAUUAGAGUAUUGCAAAAUGGUGAUUCUCAGGUUGUACGAAGGAGGAGGAAAAGAGAGAGGAAGAUCAGUUUUCCAGAAGCUGCUUCGUUGUGGCUACUACGAUGAUGAAAUCGCUUGGAAAAUUCUUAUUGAUGGUAUGCUUAAGCAGGGGCACAUUGACGCAUUUUCUGAACUGUUCCAAGCAAUGCAAAAAAAUGGCUGCCACUUCAGCCCUCAAACAUAUCUAUCGCUUACUAAGGGGCUUCGCUGUAAGACUGAUCCUAUUGUUGCAAUCACUUCGAGUGCUGGAUGUGUCUGAGGCUAUAGGGCUGGCCUGUUUUUGGGACACCAACUGUUUUGCCGUAACUUAGUGCAAGGCCCACUUCUGUAAGCUAAGUUUCUCAAACUACUUUCUAUAAGCCAUUCUUUCUGUUCCUUUUCUGUUGCAUUUUUUGCUGGAUUUGGACUACCAGAACUCACACAAUCUUGUAGGAUGUCUCCAUCUUUUAGUUAAGAUAAAUGCUAACAAUGCAAGUACCAAUUGUAAAAGGACAACCAGAACAUACACUUGCAUGAAUACUUUCAAAAUAAGUUAGUGGAACCUCUGAAAACUGUAAAUCAUAUACUUGGAGAGAAAUAAAAUCACUAAAUAAGUGAAUUCAAGAUGGAGGUGAGAAACUAGAAGUCCCUGACUUCAAUUGGAAUCCUAAGACAAAGUUAAAAGAUCUUUUUGUUUUCUUUUGACUGUGAAAGCUUAUUUUCUGCAUAUAAUCUUUAUACAAUCUUCAGGAUGGGGAUCUGAAAUGGGUGAUUUACAGAUUCAUUGUCUCAACAAAGCGUCGUCUGCUAACUACGGUUGGUUGUGCUAAGAUUUACUACAAAGAGGGGUGGUCUCUGCUAUCGUUUCGUUCUUCUUGGCGUGGCAGAAGUACGCAGAUUGGCCAAUGAGGCUGAACGGUUGGCCUAAUGGUGCAAGGUUACGAGCCUUUGAUGAAAACACUUGCAAAAAGAAUUGAGUCAUAGCAAUGGCCCUAAACACAAAACAUCGAAUUCGGGUGUACGAGGACAAUAUGACUUAUUGGUGAAGGCUUCUGGUGCUGACAAGUUCGAUGUCAAAAACGAGAGUUCCAAGAGUAGAACCUUCUCCAUUGGCGAGACGUGUUGGGUUAAAGAUAGUCGUGAAGAGUCUCUGUCUGUCAAAGAACUUCAAACCACAACAAGAAACAAACAAAGAAUUUUUAAACCAAUCUUGGUAAUAAAUGUUUCUGCAAACAGUCUUUAUAAUAUGAUUGGUUCUCUAAAACCUUCACAUUCAUCAGAUUGAUACUAGUUCAAGUCCCAUUGGCUACUGAACAUGACGCAAAACAAGACCUUAUGAAGAUAAAUGUCUAUGAAACUAAUAACAGUGACUUAUCAUGAUAUAAAAUUCUAAGCUGCUUUUGUUUCA